GACGAAGGGGGCUAGCGUUGUUCGGAAUUACUGGGCGUAAAGCGCGUGUAGGCGGUUGCCAUAGUCAGGUGUGAAAGCCUUGAGCUCAACUCAAGAAAUGCACUUGAUACUGGGCGACUAGAGGACCGGAGAGGAUAGUGGAAUUCCCAGUGUAGUGGUGAAAUACGUAGAGAUUGGGAAGAACACCAGUGGCGAAGGCGGCUAUCUGGACCGACAUUGACGCUGAGGCGCGAAAGCGUGGGGAGCAAACAGG
rnacentral:rRNA from 1 species